rnacentral:rRNA from 1 species
GUACACUCCUGCGGGAGGCAGCAGUGGGGAAUAUUGCACAAUGGGCGCAAGCCUGAUGCAGCCAUGCCGCGUGUAUGAAGAAGGCCUUCGGGUUGUAAAGUACUUUCAGCGGGGAGGAAGGCGAUAAGGUUAAUAACCUUGUCGAUUGACGUUACCCGCAGAAGAAGCACCGGCUAACUCCGUGCCAGCAGCCGCGGUAAUACGGAGGGUGCAAGCGUUAAUCGGAAUUACUGGGCGUAAAGCGCACGCAGGCGGUCUGUCAAGUCGGAUGUGAAAUCCCCGGGCUCAACCUGGGAACUGCAUUCGAAACUGGCAGGCUAGAGUCUUGUAGAGGGGGGUAGAAUUCCAGGUGUAGCGGUGAAAUGCGUAGAGAUCUGGAGGAAUACCGGUGGCGAAGGCGGCCCCCUGGACAAAGACUGACGCUCAGGUGCGAAAGCGUGGGGAGCAAACAGGAUUAGAUACCCGAGUAGUCCCAUG